CCUACUUGGUAAAUUGAGAAAAGUAUCGAGUAUGUACUUGGAUUUACUUGUAUCGAUUUAUCCCUAGCUGUUACAUAAUCUGACGAUUAUCUGGAGCGGUUUCCUUGAUCUCUCGGUGUAAACAAAUAAUUUCGUAACUGAGAUGCACAGUCAACCAAACAUAACAGGUCCGGCUCGACUUGGUCGCCAAUUUCCUCUACAUCUUGCCCAUCUGUGAUUAUAGAAUUGACAAGUUAUUAUACCUGAAUCCCCUAGAAAAUCCGGUGUUAUGACUACAUCUUCUUACGCUUCUGGUAAUUGAUCACAACGAACUAGCAAUUUUCCAUUUGAGUAAAAUUUUGAAGGUUAUUUUACACGUAACACUGCAAGUGCUUUGUUCCCCCAAGAUUUCGUGAUGGCUGACAGAAAGGAGUAAGGGGACACACAGUGCAUUGAUAGUAUUAUAAAGAGUGAGCAAGAAGGGAGCAGAGUUCAAGAAAAUUUUCAUAUAUUAGUAAAUUUAAGAUCGCGGAGCUGAAAAAUAUAGAAAACUCAAAAUGCUAGCAAACGUGAAAAAACCCCAAUGACGGACGAAUUGAGCGAGCGGUUUUACCUUUAAAUAUUUGUAUCAUGGUAUGUGAAUAAUUGUCUUUAAUAAUGUAAUUAAACUAGUAAUAUUCUCCAACAUGUGUAGUCUGUAAGAAUAUUUUUGUUCAUUGACUUAAGUAAUAAAUAAAUAAAUAAGCCCAGAAAAAUAA